ensembl:lncRNA
UUCAAAGGUCUCUCUCUCUGCUGUUCCCUCCGCUUCCCACUCCUCUCCGCUCACCCUCUCCUGCAAACUCAGUGGAUUCUACCCUGACAACGUGUCUAUUCUCUGGAUCCAGAAUGGAAAGGUUCUUCCUAACUGUACUUUGUCCGUCCAGAAUGAGGAAGGAAUGUACGGGAGACAUCAGUAUCUCACCCUGAGUGCGGAGGAGAGGAGCAGAGGAGGAGAGGUGCAGUGUGUGGCCAGCCACCUGAUGUGAAAGAACCUGCCUUUGGAACUAUUGACCUCUCCGCCGUUGACCCACAAGAGAAGCUGAAGUCUCUGAACAUCUCAGCGAUUGUUCUGCCCCCCAGGGUGGUUGUGAGUAAGAAAGGCAGAGUCACCAUCAGUGUGGAAGGCAGGUUGGCAGAGAGAGUACAGACCACAUGGUUUCUCAAUGAUGUCCCCAUUACAGACACUGCAUACAGAGAGAAAAAAUAUGGUCCUUUUUGCUUGGCAGCCUAUACUCCUCACAGCUCUCAUGUGUCUUUGGUGUCGGAGAAAAGCUCUCUGCUGCCCUCUGCUGCUGCCUCAGGAUAUUACAAGCUGCACACUCAGAUGUUGCCAUGCUUGUUCUCCUGCUCCAUGAAGCAGCUGUUCUCCUCCGUCACAUUUAUAACAAACCUGUCCAUUCACAAGGGUGCAGUUUUCAAAUGCCACAUCUCGUAUAAGGGCAAAGACAAGCUUGUGGCCAAGAGAGUUUCCGACAAGUUUACUAUUCAAGCACCACCUGAAGUUUCAUUGAUCCAGUUCUCAGAGUCAAAUGAGGAAGGAGGCGUUGUGACCAUGAUGGCCCAGGCCUCUGGCUUUCAUCCGGACAUCACCACCUUCCGCUGGUUCUGUGAGGGCAGCGAGCUGAGCCCCGUGUCUGUCCCGCAGGUGCUGGCGGCCCCUCGGCCAGAUGCUGCAGGCUUCUUCUCUUCUUCUGCAGGCCCCCGCCGCAGAGCUGGAGCGAGGGGAGACCCAGUAAUUGGCGUGGGGAGACGGUAUAUAAGACAGUCGGAAACCGGCGAGGAGGAGAGAGAGCUGAGGACUCGUGGGGACCAGGAAGCCGGAAGCCAGAGAUAUUCCGAUGAGUAUUGUGAGACAGUGACUAAGUGUGUGCGCAUGUGGCGCGAUUGUUUUUUGUUUGGUAAAUAAAAAUACCCACGAGCCUCAGACAGCUGACCCGGUCUCCUUCCUUCUUACCCGACGAACAAGGGAAAUACUACACUGGUGCCGAAACCCGGGAGGAAGGAGGGACGCACUGCCGAAGAUCCCUCAUCGCUGGGGUGAAUCUGCGGUGCCAUCGAGCAUGGUGGAGCAGUCUGCCGCCGUGGACGCUCGAGGCGGUGGGCUGGAGUGAGUUGCCGGGGGGACGGACGAGCUUGCUGCCGGAUGCCUGAGAUGUGGAGGGACGGCUGCCUUCCGGAAGGGAGCAGAGGAGUCGCCGCCGUUCGCCUGGGGCCACCACCAAAUCAUCGGCAUAUUUAAUAAUGUGCCUGCCUGGAUAUUGACUUCUGCACCUUUCAGAGUAUAGAAUAAAUAACAGAGGUGAAAGAAUACAGCCCACUGAGGGGUAAAGCUCCCGGGAAUGUCCUCCAUUUACUCAUACUCUUUGAGAUCUUCUGGUCAGAAAAUCCAAAAUCCAGGUUAAAUAGUAUUAAAUGCUGUCUAUAAAUUAAAGUAUUAAAUGAAAAUCUAUAAAUAACCCAAUGAGCAAUGAGUCUUACUCAUGCAUGACUCAUUGUCAAAUGAUUUGGUUCCAUAAAGCUAAUUUUUUAACAUAGCUCAAGCUCAAUCACUUUGAAAAUGCUGGGAAACUAACCGGGUCAGGAGUAGGCUAAACUGAUCCUCUAACACUGACCAAUACAAUCUAAAAUUGCCCUUUAAAGCAUUAAAAUCACAAAAUUAAAAGUUAAAAUGAAUAAUAAAAAACAGACUACAUUUGAACUGGUAACAGGAACACGUGAACUCAUUUGAGCUUAAUAAUUGGGACUGUAUUAGCUUACAUUUGAUUUUCCCAUUAUAGUCCCUUUGCGGUUACUGUUUUGCAUUGUAUGUCGGUUUAAAAUUUUCCAUCACAUUAAAUGUCCCACAACAAAUAUUUAAAAAAAAAAUUAUAUUUUACUCUAUUGCGCUCCGCCUGAUUAACACGCAUCGCCAGCAAAAUGCAAAAUGGAUAUGUUUGCAUGACUUUCAAACAUUUACAGAUGAAGAAUAUUAGUUAUGCACUGAGGAAAACACAACAUCUCAAAUGCACUAAACCAGUGGUUCUCAAACUUUUUAUACCGAGUACCAUCUCAGAAAAAAUUUGGCACCAUGAUGACCAACAUUAAAAUACUGCAUACUGUGCAAAAUACUGUGUAUAUUUAUAAUGUAAUACAUUAUAUAAAUAUACAUACAUGCAUGUAUAUAUUUACGAAAAAUGUAUGUUUAUAUAUUAAAUAUAUUUGUAUAUCAUAUAAAUUAUAUGAAUAUGAAUAUAUACAUGUAAAUAUAUGUAAAUAUUUUCAAAAUAUAUAUUGUAUGUGUGUGUAUAUGUAUAUACAUAAUAAAUCUACACAGUACACACAUAUAUUAUGUAAACAAAAACAUUUAUUUUGGUUGCGAUUAAUGGUGAUUAAUUGUUGUACAGCACUAGUUUUAACAUUCAUUUAUAUUUAAUUUAGAGAUUCCUCUGUGUACCACACUUUUAGAAGCACUGCAUUAAACAGCACACAUUUAUACAUUUAUAUUACAUUUAUACGCCGUUUGUCAUGCUGGAUCAAUUUUAACCAUGAUCGACAUUCAGGGCUGCUAAAGAGCAAGUGUGCACAUUAUAUUAUCUUGACUCAUUGAACCCGGAUCAAAUUAGUGAGAUUAAUAGUGUCAAAAAUUUUAAGUUAACCCAGGAAAGCCCAAAAAAGAAACCACCUGUUACAAUAAAAAGUGGUAGUGGUUUGCUGAAUUUUCCAUCAGGUUUUUGAUUGUAAUUCUUUAUUAUUUGACAAGUCACACAGGUUUUCACAUGACGUUUCAUGUCGGACCACAUGCCUGGCCAGAAUGCUACUUCUUGGAGUCGUUUGUACGUUUUAUAGAUUCCUCCAUGGCCACUAAGACAACUGGAAUGGUAGUGCUUCAGCAAAGAGGGACGAAGACUGCUGGGAACGUAGACUCGGUAGUGCAUCUGGUUAUCUGGAAGGACAACACCUGACAAUGGCAGGUCUGACUCCUUGUGGCUUGUGUACAGAGUGCAGCUCGAGAUUGUCGCAGGACCCAACAGAUGAGUCGCCUGGUGGUUUUGGUGGAACCCAUGACCCAUUGCAGAGCAGAGUGGACAGUGACAACUGUGAAGAGUUUGUGUUCCAGAAUAGCACCCAAACCAGUGUCACUGGCAUCGAUGUAAACGGUGAAGGGGAGCUGAAGAUCUGGAUGGCCAAGGAUGGGUGGUGAGUGAGUUGAGGGGUUCGGCUAUCCUUGAAAAUUUUGGGACAUACCGAUGAUACCACCCAGCCAAUCCAAGGAACCUUUGAACCUCCUUCAGAUUUCUAGGCACAGGUAAGACCAACAGUCUUCAAUCUGUGGAGGGCAGUCUGAAGGUCAUGAAUGUGCUGGGUGAUUGAAGGUGGGUGAAUGAUUAUAUCGUCUAUAUAGACAAAGCAUAUUUUUCUCCUUAGUUCCCCCAGAACUGUUUCCAUAAGUCUCUGGAAAGUGGUGGGAGCAUUUUUGAGACCAAACGGCAUAACAUUAACUGACAGAGACCUGCAGGAGUGAUGAAGGCAGUCUUGGCUUUGCUAUUGGGGUCCAUUGCUACAUGCCAAUAGCCACUGUUAAGAUCAAUAGUGGAGAAAAUGGCUACUCCUGGAGAGUGACUCCAGGAUUUCUGUGAUGUUUGGAAGAGGAUCACUGUGGCCACCAGAUCCAGUCUGUAUCCAAGUCAGAGGGUCACUGCAGUCACCCGGAUCCAGUACGUGUCCAGCCCAGAUGGUGGAUCAGCACCUAGAAAGGACCUCUACAGCCCUGAAAGACAGCUUAGACCAGGACAACUAGAGCCCCAGAGACAGAUCCCCUGUAAAGACCUUGUCUCAGACGACCACCGAGACAAGACCACAGGAACCAGUUGAGUCCUCUGCACAAUCUGACUUUGCUGCAGCCUGGAAUUGAACUGCUGGUUUCGUCUGGUCAGAGGAGAACUGGCCCCCCGACUGAGCCUGGUUUCUCCCAAGGUUUUUUCUCCAUUCUGUCACUGAUGGAGUUUUGGUUCAUUGUCGCUGUCGCCUCUGGCUUGCUUAGUUGGGGACACUUCAUUUACAGCGAUAUCGUUGACAGAUACAAUUUAAACUGAACUGAGCUACAUGAUGACAUCACUGAAUUCAAUGAUGAACUGCCUUUAACUGUCAUUUUGCAUUAUUGACACACUGUUUUCCUAAUUAAUGUUGUUCAGUUGCUUUGACGCGAUCUUUUUUGUUUAAAGCGCUAUAUAAAUAAAGGUGACUUGACUUGACUUGACUUUAAAUGGUAAUUUGAAGUGCCAGUUUUACUUUAUAAUACAGUCAAACCUUGCAUUAGAAAGAGAACAAAUGGAAAGCAUUUUGUUACCCAUUAUUUUAAUUCUAAUUUAAUAAAAAUGCAUUCAUUCAUUAUAACAAUUUUUUAUAAACCUUUUAUAAUAAACAUUUUAAU